rnacentral:rRNA from 1 species
UUCCGGUUGAUCCUGCCGGACCUUACUGCUAUCGGGAUAAGACUAAGCCAUGCGAGUUGUGCGCUCUUGAGCUAUGUUGAGAGAGCAGCAAACGGCUCAGUAACACGUAGUUAACCUACCCUCAGGACAGGGAUACCCCCGGGAAACUGGGGAUAAUGUCUGAUAGGCGGAAGCGCCUGGAAUGGUCUUCCACUGAAAGGGUGUUAAAAACAUGCUUUUAACACUGCCUGAGGAUGGGACUGCGACCGAUCAGGUUGUUGGUGGGGUAACGGCCUACCAAGCCUAUAACCGGUACGGGCCCUGAGAGGGGGAGCCCGGAGAUGGGAACUGAGAAACGGUCCCAGGUCCUACGGGACGCAGCAGGCGCGAAACCUCCACAAUGCACGAAAGUGCGAUGGGGUUAUCCCGAGUGCUUUCCGAUGAGGAUGGCUUUUCCUCGGUGUAAAAAGGCGAGGGAAUAAAGGGGGGGCAAGACUGGUGUCAGCCGCCGCGGUAAUACCAGCUCCCUGAGUGGUAGGGAUGAUUAUUUGGCCUAAAACGUUCGUAGCCGGCUUGGCAAGUCUUCCGUUAAAUCCAGCGACUCAAUCGUUGGUCUGCGGAAGAUACUACUAGGCUAGAGGACGGGAGAGGUUGACGGUAUUCCCAGUGUAGGGGUGAAAUCCAAUAAUCCUGGGAGGACCACCAGUGGCGAAGGCGGUCAACGAGAACGUGCCUGACGGUGAUGGACGAAAGCUGGGGGAGCGAACCGGAUUAGACACCCGGGUAGUCCCAGCCGUAAACGAUGCGGGCUAGGUGUUAGGGCAGCUACGAGCUGCUCUAGUGCCGCAGAGAAGUCGUUAAGCCCGCUGCCUGGGGAGUACGAUCGCAAGAUUGAAACUUAAAGGAAUUGGCGUGGGAGCACCACAAGGGGUGAAGCCUGCGGUUCAAUUGGAUUCAACGCCGGAA